rnacentral:tRNA from 1 species
GCCCCCACCGUCUGGGGGACAGGACCCCGCCCUUCCACGGGGGGGACAGGGGUUCAAAACCCCUGGGGGGCACCA